rnacentral:rRNA from 1 species
GAUGAACGCUGGCGGCGUGCCUAAUACAUGCAAGUCGAGCGAACGGACGAGAAGCUUGCUUCUCUGAUGUUAGCGGCGGACGGGUGAGUAACACGUGGAUAACCUACCUAUAAGACUGGGAUAACUUCGGGAAACCGGAGCUAAUACCGGAUAAUAUUUUGAACCGCAUGGUUCAAAAGUGAAAGACGGUCUUGCUGUCACUUAUAGAUGGAUCCGCGCUGCAUUAGCUAGUUGGUAAGGUAACGGCUUACCAAGGCAACGAUGCAUAGCCGACCUGAGAGGGUGAUCGGCCACACUGGAGCUGAGACACGGUCCAGACUCCUACGGGAGGCAGCAGUAGGGAAUCUUCCGCAAUGGGCGAAAGCCUGACGGAGCAACGCCGCGUGAGUGGUGACGGUCUUCGGAUCGUAAAACUCUGUUAUUAGGGAAGAACAUAUGUGUAAGUAACUGUGCACAUCUUGACGGUACCUAAUCAGAAAGCCACGGCUAACUACGUG